rnacentral:rRNA from 1 species
AAAUUGAAGAGUUUGAUCAUGGCUCAGAUUGAACGCUGGCGGCAGGCCUAACACAUGCAAGUCGAGCGGUAGCACAGGAGCAGCUUGCUCUCGGGUGACGAGCGGCGGACGGGUGAGUAAUGUCUGGGAAACUGCCUGAUGGAGGGGGAUAACUACUGGAAACGGUAGCUAAUACCGCAUAACGUCGCAAGACCAAAGUGGGGGACCUUCGGGCCUCAUGCCAUCAGAUGUGCCCAGAUGGGAUUAGCUAGUAGGUGGGGUAACGGCUCACCUAGGCGACGAUCCCUAGCUGGUCUGAGAGGAUGACCAGCCACACUGGAACUGAGACACGGUCCAGACUCCUACGGGAGGCAGCAGUGGGGAAUAUUGCACAAUGGGCGCAAGCCUGAUGCAGCCAUGCCGCGUGUGUGAAGAAGGCCUUCGGGUUGUAAAGCACUUUCAGCGGGGAGGAAGGCGAACAGGGUUAAUAACCUGUCGAUUGACGUUACCCGCAGAAGAAGCACCGGCUAACUCCGUGCCAGCAGCCGCGGUAAUACGGAGGGUGCAAGCGUUAAUCGGAAUUACUGGGCGUAAAGCGCACGCAGGCGGUCUGUCAAGUCGGAUGUGAAAUCCCCGGGCUCAACCUGGGAACUGCAUUCGAAACUGGCAGGCUAGAGUCUUGUAGAGGGGGUAGAAUUCCAGGUGUAGCGGUGAAAUGCGUAGAGAUCUGGAGGAAUACCGGUGGCGAAGGCGGCCCCCUGGACAAAGACUGACGCUCAGGUGCGAAAGCGUGGGGAGCAAACAGGAUUAGAUACCCUGGUAGUCCACGCCGUAAACGAUGUCGAUUUGGAGGUUGUGCCCUUGAGGCGUGGCUUCCGGAGCUAACGCGUUAAAUCGACCGCCUGGGGAGUACGGCCGCAAGGUUAAAACUCAAAUGAAUUGACGGGGGCCCGCACAAGCGGUGGAGCAUGUGGUUUAAUUCGAUGCAACGCGAAGAACCUUACCUACUCUUGACAUCCACAGAACUUUCCAGAGAUGGAUUGGUGCCUUCGGGAACUCUGAGACAGGUGCUGCAUGGCUGUCGUCAGCUCGUGUUGUGAAAUGUUGGGUUAAGUCCCGCAACGAGCGCAACCCUUAUCCUUUGUUGCCAGCGGUUCGGCCGGGAACUCAAAGGAGACUGCCAGUGAUAAACUGGAGGAAGGUGGGGAUGACGUCAAGUCAUCAUGGCCCUUACGACCAGGGCUACACACGUGCUACAAUGGCAUAUACAAAGAGAAGCGACCUCGCGAGAGCAAGCGGACCUCAUAAAGUAUGUCGUAGUCCGGAUUGGAGUCUGCAACUCGACUCCAUGAAGUCGGAAUCGCUAGUAAUCGUAGAUCAGAAUGCUACGGUGAAUACGUUCCCGGGCCUUGUACACACCGCCCGUCACACCAUGGGAGUGGGUUGCAAAAGAAGUAGGUAGCUUAACCUUCGGGAGGGCGCUUACCACUUUGUGAUUCAUGACUGGGGUGAAGUCGUAACAAGGUAACCGUAGGGGAACCUGCGGUUGGAUCACCUCCUUA